AACGAACGCUGGCGGCAUGCCUAACACAUGCAAGUCGAACGAGAUCUUCGGGUCUAGUGGCGCACGGGUGCGUAACGCGUGGGAAUCUGUCCUUUGGUUCGGAAUAACAGUUGGGAACGACUGCUAAUACCGGAUGAUGACGAAAGUCCAAAGAUUUAUCGCCAGAGGAUGAGCCCGCGUAGGAUUAGCUAGUUGGUGUGGUAAAGGCGCACCAAGGCGACGAUCCUUAGCUGGUCUGAGAGGAUGAUCAGCCACACUGGGACUGAGACACGGCCCAGACUCCUACGGGAGGCAGCAGUGGGGAAUAUUGGACAAUGGGCGAAAGCCUGAUCCAGCAAUGCCGCGUGAGUGAUGAAGGCCUUAGGGUUGUAAAGCUCUUUUACCCGGGAUGAUAAUGACAGUACCGGGAGAAUAAGCUCCGGCUAACUCCGUGCCAGCAGCCGCCGUAA
rnacentral:rRNA from 1 species